rnacentral:lncRNA from 10 species
AGGGAACCUCCAUGUUGAAUAUACCUGGCUUAAAUAGAGAGAGACUGUAAGCAUUGAAGAGAACCGGGAGAUUACUAGAGUUGUUGAACACAGAAAAUAAGAUCUUGGUGACUAUAAGUCAAAAGGGAGAAGAAAAAGAAUAUAAAAGGAAAACCUUGAAAAGGUGAAUGCAGAUCCUAGUGUGGUGCCUCAUCAGAAAACAGAAAGUGAAGAGCAAGUUGAUGAGAUACAGAUAAAAUAAACCCUAUGGCUUCAGAAAUGGAAUAUGAAGUAGAGUUUCCAGUGGCCCCUGAUGCACCUCGUGACCAAGUGAGAUAACUGCCAGGCCCAUUGUGCCCAUUGCUUUCUUACAGCAACUAAGUUCCUUCUUGGAUUCCAAAGCUCCAUGAAUUUGUAUUUUGAGCUAUCUGAAUUUGUUUGAGAAAACUUUUGAUUUAAACUGGGUUCAGAAGUUGUGACAGAAACUAGCCAGGGCCCAGGAUCAGAUUGGAUCUGAUAAUUAGCUAUACUGUAUCCAGUUGCACACUGAGAUGUCUGACAGGGUCAGAUGGAAACUGACAGUAAAUGGCAAUACUGCAAAAGGUACAAACUCUAGAUUUCAAAAAUUUGCAGAAAUGUUUGUGUUAUAUCCCCUUUGUUUCUUUCUCUUGUGUGCUUAGGAAGGGAAAAAUUAUUGGCUAAGUUGAUCAAGGAGAUUUGACAGCCAAAGCCAAGAUUCGAUGUAAGAAUGGGAUCCUUAAUUUGUGAAAAAUGGAGCACUGUACCUUUUGGCUACACCUACCUGUACUGGGCUCCACAAACACCAAAUGCUUACAGAACUGGUAAAAUCCUUCUAAAGAUAAUUUAAAAGUACAGCAAAACAUUCCAAAUGAACAACAGUGCACUUUAAAAAGUACUUUUAUGGAUAAGGGCUCCCAAAUUAGUUUAACUCAGAUACAUCUAUUGAUAUGCAGAAGUUUCUAAAAAAAAUUACAAUAUUUUUGUUGCCACUCUUAAAAAGCUUUUUAUGAAAGAAAAAUAAAAAGCUGAAACAACUAAUUGAUAAUAAAAAUUAAUUCUGUUAGUUUUUGUGUUAGUUACUAUACCACUCUAGGGGCUAGAAGAAUGCAAAAUAAAUGUUUAUAAAAUAUAGACCCUCAGGCAAGGUAGGCUUGCUUAUUUUUUCAGAGCUAUCCAUGCUGAGUCCAUGCAUAGAGGAUGCUUUCUUUACCCUGUUGCUUAAUGGGCUUUGCCUUAAACUCAGUAAGUUUUACCAAGAAACAGGAGUUAAGAACACUGCCUGUUGAACCCAACAGUCUCCACAAUACCACUUUCUGGCAUUUAGUUGGCUAUUUUGAAAUUCUUUCAUAAAAUAAAUUUAUAUAUAAAGAAAAUCUCCUUUCAUAAGGGUGUUUGCCUUUGUGCAUCCUGAAAAGAAGGAGAACUGAGUCACUAGAAACUCUUAGUAUUGUUUUAAAUUUACAUAACGAGUCUUACCUUUGUUUAACAUGUGUUUUCUGACCAUCUUUUCUUAACUGGGCUUUUAUCUACACCCUCCUUUCUUAAUUUGAGCAAAGAAUGAUACAAUAUUUAGGCCUGAAGUUUCAGCUCUGUGACUUUGAGAUAUAAAUUUUCUACCUUGUUUCACCUAAGACUUAUUUGAUUAGAGGUGCAAAUUUAGGGUUGCCCAGCUAACAAUUGCUUAGGGCAAUGAAACAGGAAAUUCAAGAGUGAUAGUGUAAAUGGGGAAAAGAAAAACUAUUUGAAAGCUGACAACUGAAAAAUUAUCAUGAAAGCUGUAAGAUUUUCUUCUGUCUGUAUGUCUGUAUGUUUAUAUGUGUUAUAUGUAUGUGAUAUUUCUCUGAUCUAAGAUGAUAUUUGGUAAAUAAAACUAGCUUUAAAAUUGUUGGUAAAAUAAAAUAGCAUAUGUCUUCAAAAUUUUUAAUAGUAAAUAUAAUGCAGACAUUUUUGCCUGGAUUUAGUGAUUCAACAGGUUUAUAUUGUCUCUAAUAGAUGUUUUAAGGGUAUAAAACUGCUCCUUCUGUAGUAUUUUUUAUGCUUGUCCUGUUUAUGACCUUAUGUCUUUGGUUUCGAGACUUUAGAUUCUGAAGUCUAGGCAGAUGACUAUGGUGAGGCCUAGGGACAUGUGUGGCCACAGCACCUGUGACAUCAGCUGCAAGUCAGAGAUAAGCCCAAUAUGGCCCUAUCCUUCCUGGCCCAGCUUUGCCUUUUGGCCAUUCUGGGAGAGUUUAGAUCCUUCAGGCACUGUCUUCACAGUUCUAUCUUCUAUCCCGAGCUAUAUGUAAAUUCAGGACCCAGAUGACCUCUGCUUUUCAUAGUCAUCCUGGGUGCCACGUGGGUACUUGGUACCCACAACUGGGGAAGACAUUAGGGAGGAUACCUAUAUCGGAGUUUCAAAUUUUUUUUAAUAACUCAAAAUAUUAAGGUCAUGCUAUUUUAAAUUAAGUAGUACAUAAUCAUAAAAUACUCUAAGUUAAAAUAUCAAAAUAUUAAUUAUUAAACAUAGAUGUAAUUUUAAGUUUAUAUACUUCAGCAUAUUAUUUUUAUAUGGUAUAAAAAAACUUUGCUAAAUGCAU